rnacentral:lncRNA from 1 species
UGAUCUUUUUUUUCAACAUCCUGAAUAUAGGUUCGCACGUGGCUGUUAGAUGAGAUGUGAACCAUGACAGGUAGUUCAAUCUUUCUAAGAAACCACGAACCUCUCUUUUUCUUUCUCGGUUCAGGCGUUUCUCUUAUUGUUCUUUUUCUUUUCUUUUCUUUUAUUUUUUUUUUUUUUUUUUUUUUGCAGGAUGAACCUCGAUUCCUCCCUUACAAUGAACCCCAAUCAUCUUACCGGACCGCACUCUGAUAGUGCACUUAUCUGAAUUCAACCUCAGUUUGAAUUAUCUCCACCGGUCAAACGACUUGGCCAGAUCUGGCAGAUGCCCCUCUUCUGUUUGGGACUUUGCUAUCAUGUCAUAGCAUAACAU